GGGUUGUGAGGUUAAGCGACUAAGCGUACACGGUGGAUGCCCUGGCAGUCAGAGGCGAUGAAGGGCGUGCUAAUCUGCGAUAAGCGCCGGUAAGGUGAUAUGAACCGUUAUAACCGGCGAUACCCGAAUGGGGAAACCCAGUGUGAUUCGUCACACUAUCAUUAACUGAAUCCAUAGGUUAAUGAGGCGAACCGGGGGAACUGAAACAUCUAAGUACCCCGAGGAAAAGAAAUCAACCGAGAUUCCCCCAGUAGCGGCGAGCGAACGGGGAGGAGCCCAGAGCCUGAAUCAGCAUGUGUGUUAGUGGAAGCGUCUGGAAAGGCGCGCGAUACAGGGUGACAGCCCCGUACACAAAAGCGCAUGUGCUGUGAGCUCGAUGAGUAGGGCGGGACACGUGGUAUCCUGUCUGAAUAUGGGGGGACCAUCCUCCAAGGCUAAAUACUCCUGACUGACCGAUAGUGAACCAGUACCGUGAGGGAAAGGCGAAAAGAACCCCGGCGAGGGGAGUGAAAAAGAACCUGAAACCGUGUACGUACAAGCAGUGGGAGCCCCACCACUAAGCCAGUGGUGAACUCCACAUACGCAUCCUUUGCUGAGGAUACGGUUAACGGAGCGAAAGCGACGUUCAACCUCAAAAGAAGCAGAGGGGGCUUAGUGGUGGGGUGACUGCGUACCU
rnacentral:rRNA from 1 species